GCAGAAAUGAGGAUACAAUGAAGACCUGGAAGAAAGAGUUUGAAAGAGAGAGCUAGAGACUAAGUAAUAACAAAGUGUAAGACAGAUGAAAAUUUAACCAGAUUCCAGAAUAAUUAAGAGAAAUGACACUAGCUCAGGUGUGUGGGGAUCCCAGUAACUCUGAGGUUGCAACCUCUCCAUGAUCUCUGUAGGGGCUUCUUCAAGAGCUAGAAUCGCGGACUUUCAGUCCACAAUCUGCAGACCACAGUCUGUAGACCAGCUCCAGGCAAGGCGUGG
rnacentral:lncRNA from 1 species